GGAAGAAAGAAAGAAAGAAGGAAAGGAGGGAGGGAGGAAGGAAGGGGUCAACUAAUGGACAAACCCAACCCAGCUAUUGCUUGUACAUCAAUGAAUAAGGUUUUUUUGUUUGUUUGUUUGGCCAGUUCAUCUGGAGUCCAUCUGUGAGAAGUGAGGACCAUUUUGGGCUUUAAACCUGCACUUGGACUCAGAGACAUGUCCUGGUGUCUCAGUGGGCAGGCUGGUGCCCAGGAGGGAGACUGGCAACAUGGUUGCCCAGCUGCUCCCCCGACUUCAAAUUCAAACCCCUGCAAGGGCGUCCAGCCUGCCUGGGGGGUCCUGCAGACUCUGGGGGUUCUGAGACCAGUGCCAGUCCUCCUACAGCAGCAGAGGCCAACAAAGCAGGUGAGUGGGGCAGAGACGGAGCAGGAGCUGGCCAGGGCAGCACCAAGUCAGCACACAACCUGUCUCAAGAAAAGGUACUGCCUAAAACUUUAUGAAGAGAGAGAAGCUUCACAGUUAGGCUCAGAGAGAGGGAGACAGAGACACAAGAGAGCAGGAGAGAGAGACAAAAAGGGAAAUAGAGGGAGAGCAGAGAGGCAGAUCUCGACCAAGAAAGAAUGAGGCAGAGACAGAGUUAGAAGGAGGGACAGAAAGAGAGCAGAUGGGCCAACUGAGGCAGACAGAGAGAGGGUAGGCUAGAGAGAGAUGAUAAUAGGGAUGAAAGAGGAACUGAUGGACCAGCACAGACAGGCAGACAGGAGGACAGAGAGGCAGAGAGGCAGAGAGAGAGAAAGAAGCCAAGUAAAGAGAUUCUGACACACACACCCACCAGUGGGCACAGGUUCUGCGGUGUGCUCAUCAGAGUGCUGAGAGGUGGGGCCCAGGCCUGCCACUUAACCAACUCUGGGGGCCUUCACCCAGCCCCAGGACUGGGCCCCAGAGGGUGUCCUCCAGCCACAGAAUGGAACAGCAUCAAAGUUCUGGGAAGAGAGGUUUCUGGGGAAAGAACCACGUACUCUGCGGGUGCAUGUGGGUGGGGCUGGGGUAGAGGAUCUCUGACAAAGUUUCUCUUAGCUCCAUCACUGCCCCUGGCAUUUGUGGCCUCUCUGGUUCUCAGUUUCCUCUGGGAUGUGAUAGUGAAUAUGGGUGGUGCAGGGUUCUCUGAGAUCUCCUCCAGCUCUAAGAUCUGGUCUUUGCUCAGACUCUGUCUUUGCAGCUAACUUACUGCUCUAGCCUAUCUAAGUCAUGACCUCCACCUCAUAGCCCAAGAUGGCUGCUUGAGAUCCAGCCAUUAUAAAUGCAUUUCAACCAAUGAAGGAGGGAAGGCUAAAGAAAACGUUUUUCUUUUAAAAAACACCUCCUUGAAAGUUAUGCUCAACACUUCUUUUUCCAUCGCAUUGGCUAAUGCUUAGUCUCAGAACUGCAUCUAGCUUCAAGAGAGGCUGUGGAAUGUGUUGGGGAUAGAGUCCAUUUCACAUAGUUUAGUGAUGCCACCAUAGCUGCUCCCAGCAGCUUUGAUACAGCCAUACCGUUUUCCUUUUGCUUACGUUAGAUAGAUAGUUAGAUAGAUAGAUAGAUAGAUAGAUAGAUAGGAAGAUAGAUAUGUAGAUAAUACAUUUAAAAUAUGUAUUUCGAAUAAGUGAAAAAUCCCCUUUCAUUUCUCCAAAGUCAUUUCUCCCAAGUGUGACCACUAUGAACAUUUGCUGUAUCUGCCAUAUUCAUUUUUUUUUGUGUAUUUACACACACAUGCACACACACACAAACUUAUACCUAGUUUAAAGGAACAUACACACAUAUAUGUAUUAUUUUGCAACUUGCAUUCUUGGUUAUUUUUAUGGGACCCUAUAUCUUGGAGGUUCAACCACGCCAGUCCACCUCAUUCUUUGCAACAGCUGAAUGGUACCUUACCAAAUAGAUUUAUCAAAGGUUAUUGAUAGAUAUUGGGCUUGUCAAAUUUUUAUAUUACAAAUAGGCGUGGGCAUCUUCUCUGCAUAUAUACAUAUCCAAGUGGUCCUUGAGGAUAGGUUCCUAAAAAUGGGCCAAAGUUGAAUUCUCUCCUGGUGUAUGGGUUAACCCUUCCUAUGAAAAUCCUUCUUCUCCAUGAGGAAGAGACCGCUUCGGGUCUUGACUUAGACUGAGCCCUCUCCCUCCCUCCCUCCCAGCCACCAGGCAGGCACUGGCCUGGCACCAUCCUCACCACUGUGCCCUCCUUUCCAGGGUCUGUCCCAUCACGGGAAGCCAGUCUCACAUCCUAAUGCCGCCUGGGCUGCCCCACCCUUUUGUUGACUCUUCCUCCUUUCUCCUCUGGGUAGGGAGACCCUCUCCUGGUAGCCUUCUCCUGGGAAUUUCGGAUCCUGCUUCUGGUCCCCACCUUUAUCCCUGCCCCCUUCCUUACUACCACAGCACCAUGUUUUAGAACCUUCUGAGCCCUUCCUUCCUUCUCCAAUCCUGUUUACACCCCUCAGGGGGCACCCCCUCUAGGAGGGAGAGGGGAUGGCAUGGUGAGCCUGAGCCCAGCUCAGGGACGGGGAUCAGCCUUGGGGGUUGUAGGAAUGUACUCGGGACAAACAGCAGGCCCCAGAACCCUAGCCUUCUUCUAGAGACAGACCGAGCCAUGAGGAGUUGAAGAGAAAGCUCUCUAAGAGAGCAUUUGGCUCUCCCCCUGGAAUGGACCAUACCUGAAAUUUGAGCCCCAAAGCUCCAUGAAGGUGUGACAAAUCCCCCCUUCCUACGGUCAGGGCCCUCAGCCCAGCUGGGCAGCAGCAGGAUGCUGAUCAGGUUAUUAAAAGCUUAGCUGGUGGUUCUCCUCUGGCUCAAUUCAUCAGGCAAUAGCCUCCUGGGAGUGAUGGAUGGUGACAAAUGAAGGUAGGUAGGGGGUUCCUGAGCCCAUCCUGGGCCACAGCUGGGGAAACUCAGCCAUCAAAGCCCUGUGCAGCCUUCUCCACGAGGUGACUCUGAGGGCCAAGGAGAUCAAGUUUCGGCAAAUGGUUUGGGGGUGGGAGAGGCUCCGCCAAAGACAAGCUGCCCUGUGUGUUGUGUGGGGCCCCAGCCGGGCUGUGGGCCUGAGCUGGAG
ensembl:lncRNA